rnacentral:rRNA from 1 species
GAUGAACGCUAGCGGCAGGCCUAAUACAUGCAAGACGAACGGCAAGAUUUUUAGCAAUAAGAAUCCUAGAGUGUCGUAAGGGUGCGUAACACGUAUGCAAUCUGCCCUCAACAGGAGGAUAGCUCCCCGAAAGGGGAAUUAACACUCCAUAAGAUUGCGGUCCGGCCUCGGAGCGCAAUUAAAACUACGGUGGUUGAGGAUGAGCAUGCGCAUGAUUAGUUAGUUGGCGGGGUAACGGCCCACCAAGACGAUGAUCAUUAGGGGAACUGAGAGGUUGAUCCCCCACACUGGCACUGAGAUACGGGCCAGACUCCUACGGGAGGCAGCAGUAGGGAAUAUUGGACAAUGGGUGCGAGCCUGAUCCAGCCAUGCCGCGUGCAGGAAGACGGCCUUCUGGGUUGUAAACUGCUUUUGCCAGGGGAUAAAACGGCUCUGCGGAGCUAAUUGAAGGUACCUGGUGAAUAAGCCACGGCUAACUACGUGCCAGCCGCCGCGGUAAGAC